GGGGCUAUAGCUCAGCUGGGAGAGCGCCUGCCAUGCACGCAGGAGGUCAGCGGUUCGAUCCCGCUUAGCUCCA
rnacentral:tRNA from 1 species